GAUGAACGCUGGCGGCGUGCUUAACACAUGCAAGUCGAACGAUGAUCCCAGCUUGCUGGGGGAUUAGUGGCGAACGGGUGAGUAACACGUGAGUAACCUGCCCUUAACUCUGGGAUAAGCCUGGGAAACUGGGUCUAAUACCGGAUAUGACUCCUCAUCGCAUGGUGGGGGGUGGAAAGCUUUAUUGUGGUUUUGGAUGGACUCGCGGCCUAUCAGCUUGUUGGUGAGGUAAUGGCUCACCAAGGCGACGACGGGUAGCCGGCCUGAGAGGGUGACCGGCCACACUGGGACUGAGACACGGCCCAGACUCCUACGGGAGGCAG
rnacentral:rRNA from 1 species